GGAGUUAGCCGGUGCUUCUUCUGUGAGUGAUGUCCUUCCUGCCGGCUAUUAACCCGCAGGCCUUCUUCCUCACUGAAAGUGCUUUACAACCCGAAGGCCUUCUUCACACACGCGGCAUGGCUGGAUCAGGGUUGCCCCCAUUGUCCAAUAUUCCCCACUGCUGCCUCCCGUAGGAGUCUGGGCCGUGUCUCAGUCCCAGUGUGGCUGAUCAUCCUCUCAGACCAGCUACGGAUCGUCGCCUUGGUGAGCCGUUACCUCACCAACCAGCUAAUCCGACAUAGGCUCAUCCGAUAGCGCGAGGCCCGAAGGUCCCCCGNUUUCCCCCGUAGGGCGUAUGCGGUAUUAGCCUGGGUUUCCCCAGGUUAUCCCCCACUACCGGGGCAGAUUCCUAUGCAUUACUCACCCGUCCGCCGCUCGCCACCAGGGAGCAAGCUCCCCGUGCUGCCGCUCGACUUGCAUGUGUAGCNGCCGCCACGCGUCAUCUGAGCAGAUACAACUACUGA
rnacentral:rRNA from 1 species